CCCAGAUUGAAAUUUGCUUUUCAUCAUCACGUGCCACGUGGCGCGUGGAUUACACAUGCUUAGGAGAGCGAAUGCGCCUAUCAAACCGCACAAAACUCGCGACGAUAUUUCCGAUUGUUGUUUUGAUUGUUCUUCUCAAAUUGUGUUAGGACUCCGUAGUUUUGCACUCUUCCUAACAAUCGUUGCGGUGUUUUGUCGAUUAAUUUUCCUGGAAUUGUUGUCCUCUCUUUUGGUUUCUGAGUUUUGGGUCGUUUAAUCCAGAGUUGAUUUUGGUGUUCCUUGAAGAAGUUUCAGAAAAGAGAGGGGGAAGAAAUAUGAUGAAUUCUUAUUCUUCUUCUUCAGCUACUGUCGCAGUGGAGAAGGCGACCAGCGAUCUUCUUGUGAGCCCUGAUUGGACCAUGAACAUCGAAAUUUGUGAUUCCAUCGAUUCUAAUCAUUGGUAAUCUUCAACUACAAGAAAAUGGAGGAAGAUAGAUAACAUAUCAAUUUAGACAUUAUGUUUUAUUUUAUUUUAUUUUGGAGGCGUUGACUUUGACCAACUACCACAUGUUUAUGCCUUUUUAAUACGAUGUUCAAUUUAAUGUUUGUAGGUUCUGUCCUCG
rnacentral:sRNA from 1 species